AUUCAAUAGUAUGUUCAGAUUUUCAAAAGUGUCUCAGGGGCAUUCAAAAAGAUAAUAGAAAGUGUGUUUUUCAUGGAUUUCAAAUUUUUUUGCACUAAAAUAAAUGUUUAAUUCCAUUUUCCCAUAAACUUUUUCAAAUGCAUUCAUAUUUGUUUUUAAUUAUUGAAAAAAAAUUUCAUUUAGUAAGAUCUGCUCUUCCUACUUCUGUUACUCUGAAUAUCAACUGAGAAAAUAUGUCAAAUACAUCAAAGAUGGUACAUAACCAUACAGCUAUGAGAGAACACUAUUCCCAUUAUUUCACCCUUCCUACUUUUAGAGAUGUUAAAAAUAAACCUAUCAGCCGGCACUGCUGCUCACUAGGCUAAUCCUCAGCCUCCAGCACCAGCAUUCCAGGUACUAGUCCCAGUCGGGGCACCGGAUUCUGUCCUGGUUGCUCCUCUUCCAGGCCAGCUCUCUGCUGUGGCCCAGGAGUGCAGUGGAGGAUAGCCCAAGUGCUUGGGCUCUGCACCUGCAUGGGAGACCAGGAGGAAGCACCUGGCUCCUGGCUUUGGAUCGGCGUAGCGCGCCAGCUAUAGCAGCCAUUUGGGGGGUGAACCAACAGAAAAAGGAAGACCUUUCUCUCUGUCUCUCUCUCUCACUGUCUAACUCUGCCUGUCAAAAUAAAUAAAUAAAUAAAUACACCUAUCAUAAUGUUUUUAUUUCAAAUAUCAGAUGAGUGACAUAAAUUUGAAAUUAGGAUUAAAAAGUGCCCUAGUCAAGGCAAAAUGGAUGUACAAAGGACAUUUAAGAGAAAAUAUCUCUUUUUUAAGAUUUAUUUAUUUAUUUGAAAGGCAGAACAACAGAGAGAGAGAAAGAAAGGAGGAGAGAGAGGGGAAAGGGAGGGAGAGAGAGCAAGAGAGAGAGAAUGAAUCUACAAUUUGCUGGUUCACUCCCCCAAACAGCCACAACAGUCUGGUAAGGGCCAGGCCAAGUCAGGAGCUGGGAACACCGUCCUAGUCUCUCACGUGGGUGGCAGGCGCCCACGUCCCUGGAUCAUCUUUGGUCGCCUUUCCAGGCAUGUUAGCAGGAAGCUGGAUUCGAAGUGGAGGAGCCAAGACAAAAACCAGCAUUCCAAUAUGGGUUGCUGGCAUCCCAGGCACCAGCUUCACCUGCGGCACCACUGUGCCAGCCCCUCUAGACCACUUCUUUUCCCAAGAGAUCACUUUAUCUGAGGGUGUGAUACACUUCUAAUCAAUUUUCAAAGUUUGAAUAAUGUCAAGUUAAGACUUUUUCCAUACUGAAGCUCAGUUCCUACCCUGGAUUCUGUUAUUUUAAAACUUUCAGGUAGGAGUGAGCAUUUAUCCUAAUGGCUAAGAUGCACACAUCCACAACAGAGUGUUUGGGUUCAAUUCCUGGCUCUGGCUCCUGACUCCAGCUUCCUGCUAAUGCAGAUCCUUGUAGGCGGCAAAGAUGGCUCAAGUAAUUAGGUUCCUGCCUGCACACUGGAGAUCUGUACUGCAUUCAGGCACCUGGUUCCAAUCUCGCCAGGGCCCAGCCCCAGCCAUUGCAGGCAUUUGGAGAGAAACCUGUAGAUUGCGGGUUUCCAACUCACUGCUCUCCCCCU
ensembl:lncRNA